CCUACGGGUGGCAGCAGUGGGGAAUAUUGGGCAAUGGGCGCAAGCCUGACCCAGCAACGCCGCGUGAAGGAAGAAGGCUUUCGGGUUGUAAACUUCUUUUGUCAGGGACGAAGCAAGUGACGGUACCUGACGAAUAAGCCACGGCUAACUACGUGCCAGCAGCCGCGGUAAUACGGAGGUGGCAAGCGUUAUCCGGAUUUAUUGGGUGGAAAGGGCGUGUAGGCGGGAAUGCAAGUCAGCUGGGAAAACGAUGGGCUCAACCCAUAGCCUGCAUUUGAAACUGUGGUUCUUGAGUGCUGGAGAGGCAAUCGGAAUUCCGUGUGUAGCGGUGAAAUGCGUAGAUAUACGGAGGAACACCAGUGGCGAAGGCGGAUUGCUGGACAGUAACUGACGCUGAGGCGCGAAAGCGUGGGGAGCAAACAGGAUUAGAUACCCGAGUAGUC
rnacentral:rRNA from 1 species